rnacentral:tRNA from 1 species
GUGGUUGUAGUUCAGUUGGUUAGAACGCCUGAUUGUGGUUCAGGAGGUCGCCGGUUCGAGUCCGGUCUUCCACCC